rnacentral:RNase_P_RNA from 1 species
GGAGAAGGACAGAUGAUCGCCGCUCGCCCUGGUUCGCCGGGGACGGGGGGAGGAAAGUCCGGGCUCCACAGGACAGGAUGGUUCCUAACGGGAACCGGGGGUGACCCCAGGGACAGUGCCACAGAGAGGAAACCGCCCGCAAGUUUUUCCAGCGGGUAAGGGUGAAAGGGUGAGGUAAGAGCUCACCAGUUCCGGCGGCGACGGCGGAAGCUAGGUAAACCCCAUCCGGAGCAAGGCCUAAUAGGGGAACGUUUGAGGGUGGUCCGCCCGAAGUUCCCGGGUUGGCCGCUUGAGGUUGUCGGCAACGGCAAUCCUAGAUGAAUGAUCAUCAUCCUGUUUGCAGGUAACUGCGCAGGAGACAGAACCCGGCUUACGGCCUUCUCCAGCC